CCCCUGGUCGUGUUGUGUAAAAUACUGCCGGACUACCUCCAGCCAAGACACGAAAUAAGAAAACCGGCCACCUCUCGCUGCAACCUCCCCCUCUCUCCUUCCGGCUCCUUUCCCGACCAGCCGCUCUCCCUUCGGCCAUCACCGUUCCGGUCACCUCCCCCACCGACGACAGCGUCACCACCUAUCCUCACCCUCUGGUUGCCCCAAUCGCCGCGCCGGCCCUCCAUUUACUGCUCUCGCGCCCGACCUUGACCCCGACCUCGCCCUACCGUCCUGCUGGCCACUCCACCGGGGCACAGCACACCUACGCUACAAUGAUUCUACCAUCUGCCUCCCAAACCGGCGCACUUCCUUCAAAGCCUUCAUGCGUUUUCGACAAUUCUUCCGCUGUGCCUGUGCUCUUGUUGCCUUAUCGGUUGUGCUAUUUAUGCUGGACUACAUACAUGGAGCGCUGCGCUGCCCUCCCCACCCUCUGCUCCCAAUCUUCCAUCAGAUUCUGCUCAUCCUCUGUUUCAUUUUCGCUUUUACGCCACCAACCUACUCGCUCAAAUGCCUGCUCCAACAAUCCCUCUCUCCAUGGUGCCCGUCGUCGAAUUCCGCCCCAAACGGUUGAGAGAUCAUGAGUUUCCCCACGAGUUGUGAAGCCCGGCGGGCAGCCCCGCCAAAUCCAGGAAGGAAGCCUUGGCUGAGGUUGCUCAAGAAGAUUGCUGCGUUUGACAAUUUGGUUUUGCAAUUUGAGGCAAUACUAAAGAAUACUGGAGGUGUGGAUAUCCGAGUCUAGAAAAGAUAUCUCAUAUUGCUAAAGAAGAAGUAUUUCAAGCUAAAUGGUGGUUUAUAACUGCAUGUGCAACUCCAAGGUCGCGAUGUGUCCACCACAAUCACGCCUGAGAUCUUUUUGUCUAAAGAGACCGCCGAGAAUUAUGACAAAGACAUAAUUAUUGGCGAAGGAGGAUAUGCCAUCGCCUGUCAGAAAAUCUUGGCUAAUGAUAAGAUCGUGGCAAGUCAUGAAGUCCAAAAAGGCGAAUCAAGCCAAAUCCAAAUAUUCGUGAAUGAAGUGAUCGUAUCGUCGCUGAAUUCUACCUCAUUCCUAUAUUUUUCGAUCUAUUAUUAUUAUUCGUUCGGUGUCUUUCACAUUUAUAUUUUUCAUCUUUGUGCCCAUCGCAAUCUAGGUACUAUGAAGCUGAUAUUAGAUCAUGAGACUACCCUUUUGUUGGCUGAAUAUCAUGAGACUAACUUAUUGAAGACAUGAUCACACCAUGGAUGAUUAGUUUCAUUCAAUUAAAACUGUAUUUUAUUUUCGCUUUUUCCCCCCCCUUUUCCGGUGGACGGUGUUGGACAUUUUUUUUUUAUUCUUAUAAUUUGGCUUAUGAUGCAAAUGUACAAGAAUAAAGGCUUACAGUAAAUUGCUUCUUUAUCUUUAUAUGUA